rnacentral:rRNA from 1 species
CCUACGGGAGGCAGCAGUGAGGAAUAUUGGUCAAUAGCCGCAGGGCUGAACCAGCCAAGUCGCGUGAGGGAUGACGGUCCUAUGGAUUGUAAACCUCUUUUGUCAGGGAGCAAAGGGCGCCACGUGUGGCGCUUUGCGAGUACCUGAAGAAAAAGCAUCGGCUAACUCCGUGCCAGCAGCCGCGGUAAUACGGAGGAUGCGAGCGUUAUCCGGAUUUAUUGGGUUUAAAGGGUGCGCAGGCGGAAUGUCAAGUCAGCGGUAAAAUUUCGGGGCUCAACCCCGUCGUGCCGUUGAAACUGGCGUUCUUGAGUGAGCGAGAAGUAUGCGGAAUGCGUGGUGUAGCGGUGAAAUGCAUAGAUAUCACGCAGAACUCCGAUUGCGAAGGCAGCAUACCGGCGCUCAACUGACGCUCAUGCACGAAAGCGUGGGUAUCGAACAGGAUUAGAUACCCCAGUAGUC